rnacentral:rRNA from 1 species
GACGAACGCUGGCGGCGUGCUUAACACAUGCAAGUCGAACGGAAAGGCCCUGCUCUUGUGGGGUGCUCGAGUGGCGAACGGGUGAGUAACACGUGAGUAACCUGCCCUUGACUUUGGGAUAACUUCAGGAAACUGGGGCUAAUACCGGAUAGGAGCUCCUGCUGCAUGGUGGGGGUUGGAAAGUUUCGGCGGUUGGGGCUGGACUCGCGGCUUCUCAGCUUGUUGGUGGGGUAGUGGCUUACGAAGGCUUUGACGGGUAGCCGGCCUUAGAGGGUGACCGGCGUCAAUGGGACUGAGAGACGGACCAGACGCCUAUGGGCGGCAGCAGUGGGGAAUAUUGCACAACGAGCGGAAGCCAGAUGCAGCAGCGCCGCGUUCGUGAUGACGGCCUUUUAGGUGUAAACCGCUUUCUCCUGUGACGAAGCGAGAGUGACGGUAACGGGUAAAGAAGCACCGGCUAACUACGUG